CUUUCUCAAGGUCUUCAGUAGAAAUAUUAAAAGAAGCGGAAUCCAUGCAAUGACAAACCAGGAACAUCCGAGCAGCCCCCAGACCCCUUCACUUACGACUAUGAGCUGAUCCGGAAAGGGGGGCUCAUCUUUGCAGCCGUGGCGUUCGUGG